GUUGCCUUUCACUAACAUCAGUAGAGGUAUGUCUUUGGCGUGUACUUGGUUUUUCUUGGUUUUCAUUAGGGAUGUAUAGUAAGAUGUACUGUUGCCUUUCACUAACAUCAGUAGAGGUAUGUCUUUGGCGUGGUUCACAUAUGCAAGGUCCAUCCCUACUCCUCCCCUAUAUACUUACACACACAGCUAGCUGCAAGAUACAAUACUUAUACAGAAACCUAAUUCAAACAUUUUUGCUUAUUUUUAAUAAAACAGUUUUGUUCAUACAUAAAGAUAGAUACUCCAAAA